AGCGAACGCUGGCGGCGUGCCUAACACAUGCAAGUCGAACGUGAAAGGGAGCAAUCCCCAGUAAAGUGGCGUACGGGUGAGUAACACGUAGGUAAUCUACCCCAGAAUCUGGAAUAACCGGCCGAAAGGCUGGCUAAUACUGGAUAGAGCGACGGAAUCCGUAAUUGGGUUUUUCGGGAAAGGGAGCCUGUAAAAAGGCCUUCGUUCUGGGAUGAGCCUGCGUCCCAUCAGCUAGUUGGUGAGGUAAAAGCUUACCAAGGCAAUGACGGGUAGCUGGUCUGAGAGGACGAUCAGCCACACUGGAACUGAAACACGGUCCAGACUCCUACGGGAGGCAGCAGUGGGGAAUCUUGCGCAAUGGACGAAAGUCUGACGCAGCAACGCCGCGGGAGUGAAGAAGGCCUUCGGGUUGUAAAGCUCUGUCGAGUGGGACGAAAAUGCUUGGAGUUCACAGCUCCAGGAACAGACGGUACCACUAAAGGAAGCACCGGCUAACUCCGUG
rnacentral:rRNA from 1 species